GGGCGUGUGGUCUAGUGGUAUGAUUCUCGCUUUGGGUUUAGGCCUAUUGAAGCACUAGCGAACAGUUGGAGCUUCAAGAAAACCGAAAUACAAGCAUGCGAGAGGCCCUGGGUUCAAUUCCCAGCUCGCCCC
rnacentral:tRNA from 2 species